UACGGAGGGGGCUAGCGUUGUUCGGAAUUACUGGGCGUAAAGCGCACGUAGGCGGCUUUGUAAGUUAGAGGUGAAAGCCCAGGGCUCAACCCUGGAAUUGCCUUUAAGACUGCAUCGCUUGAACAUCGGAGAGGUAAGUGGAAUUCCGAGUGUAGAGGUGAAAUUCGUAGAGAUCGGGAGGAACAUCAGUGGCGAAGGCGGCCAUCUGGAUCAACACUGACGCUGAGGCACGAAAGCGUGGGGAGCAAACAGG
rnacentral:rRNA from 1 species